UAGAAGGUGGCUCCAUAACUAUGUUAGAAUGAAAAUGCUAUGGGCCGAUCUCCUUUCCUAUGGUCAUCAUUUAUGGUUUUGGAGGAAGUCUCUGAUUGCAUGUUUGCGGAGAUGGUGGUUCCGGCCAGAUGCAGAUGGCAUUGAUUGUUUUGCGUGUUUGAUUGAUCUUUGUGAGUCCCAUAGGCUUGUGCAUGUAUUGGCUUCUGUAUUAGUCUUUUUUUGGUUUUAUCCGGGGAUUUUUGAAUUUGUGUGGAUUGAUUGUGGCUGACUCUUACUGUUACGGUGACAAUGGUGUGGUAGUGUGUAUCGAGAAGUGGUAUGCCAGUAUGUCAAUGCAGUGUAGAGAGCUUAAUUUUAGUGCGGUGUCAGUUCAUCACUAUGUUGGGUUGCUCGAGAUGGGUUGCUUUGUUUUGUUUAGGAUUUUUCAGGUUUGAUUUCCUGUUAACUUUGAGUUAAGAGCUUGAUUUCUAUUGUGGGGUUUCUCUUGUAUAAUGAGCCUGGUUUUAAAUCAACUUAAUGUAAUUAUUUACAAAAAUCAACUUAAUGUAAU
rnacentral:lncRNA from 1 species